rnacentral:misc_RNA from 1 species
GAGCUCAUCACGCUUCACAAGGAUUCUGACUGGUUUGUUCAUGAAUUUACGAGUAAUCUCCAGGGCCUCAGGUGGCAUGGUGGCAGAGAAAACACCAACUUGAAUUUUGGGGGGGAGCAGCUGGAAGAUGUCAUAAAUCUGAUCCUUGAAACCACGAGAAAGCAUCUCAUCUGCUUCAUCAAGAACAAACAUUUUGAUGUAAUCCGGACGGAGGGAUUGCCUCCUUAGCAUGUCAAAAACACGACCAGGCGUGCCAACGACCACAUGAACCCCACUUUGGAGUAUCCGUUGAUCCUCCCGAACACUGGUUCCUCCAACACAAGCAUGAACCUUAACUCCAAGAUAAUCACCAAGUGCCCGCAUGACCUUUUCAAUCUGCUGAGCCAGCUCUCUAGUUGGAGCAAGAACCAAAGCCUGGCAGUCGACCAAUCCAUAAUCAAGCUGCUGCAGGAUUCCAGAACAGAAAGUUGCAGUUUUC